UGCCAGCCGCCGCGGUAAUACGGAGGGUGCAAGCGUUAAUCGGAAUUACUGGGCGUAAAGGGCGCGUAGGUGGCCAGAUUAGUCGGGUGUGAAAGCCCCGGGCUUAACUCGGGAAUUGCAUUCGAUACUGCUUGGCUAGAGUGCAGUAGAGGGAAGCGGAAUUCCGGGUGUAGCGGUGAAAUGCGUAGAUAUCCGGAGGAACACCAGUGGCGAAGGCGGCUUCCUGGGCUGGUAUUGACGCUGAGGAGCGAAAGCAUGGGUAGCAAACAGGAUUAGAUA
rnacentral:rRNA from 1 species